rnacentral:rRNA from 1 species
GGAAUCUUCGGCAAUGGACGAAAGUCUGACCGAGCAACGCCGCGUGAGUGAAGAAGGUCUUCGGAUUGUAAAGCACUUUCGACGGGGACGAUGAUGACGGUACCCGUAGAAGAAGCCCCGGCUAACUUCGUGCCAG